GCGCGCCCAGCCCACAAGGACUAAUUUUUUUAUCUUUUGUAGAGAGAGGGUCUUGCUAUAUUGCCCAGGCUGCUCAAGUGAUCUGCCCGUCUCAGCCUCCCAAAGUGGUGGGAUUACAGACAGGUUCAAGCCACUGUGCCUGGCCUUAUCUACCUUUCAACUCCCUUCACACUGCUGUCCCUGCCCCGGAAACAUUGGCCACAGGGGCUAGUCCUCUGUUGACCCCCUCAGCCAGGCUCCAGGUCCAGCCACCCGCUGUCUGCAGCACACACCUUCCCAUCACCCUGGGAGGGCUGCGUGGCACCCAUGGUGUGAGAGAGGAGGCUGCGCCUGAGAGGUGCGUUAGUGAGCCUGACACACAGCCUGUGUGUGGCCUGGAGACCACUAGUUCUGGCUCUGAAGUCCACUGGGGCUCUGGGACCUCGGUGGGCCCUUGAGUCCGUGUGGCUUGACCCUUGGUUGUUUGGGGCCUGCUUCCCAGCUGCCAGCAGAACUGGGGCUCCCGUCCUCACUCCUCCUGCAGCUCAGCUCCAGAGCUCCAGGGGCCUGGGCCCUCUGCCCAGCUCAUCCUCUGCUCCCAGUAGGCAACCCCCCCACCCUUGAGAGGGGGUUGCCCUAUGCCUGUCCCUCUGGGGUCUGCUUGCCUAUUCCUGUCCCAGCACCUGCCGGGUGGUCAGGUGGAGUGGCUUCAGGGGCAAGGCCCCCGCUAUUUUUAGCACUUUCGGCUCCUGUAAACACCUCUCCCAGCCUCUCUGGCCCUGGAAGCCUCUCCUCCCCAGCACAGCCGGGACCGCGGCUGUCACACGCCCCUGCAAGGCCUGGAGGAGGGUCCCUGAAACUUCGUGCAGCACCCGCCCUCUCCUGCAGCAGAGAUUGGCGCUGCGUUCCCAGCCCCUUCAGCUGCUUCUCCCCAGAGCCAGGUGCUUGGGUCCAGCCGUGCGGUGUGGACCAGGCCAUGCUUGGGGACGACAAUCGAGGCAAGUCCUACCUGCAGGAAUCGGUGUGCUGAGAAGCAGGGCUUUGCACACAAGCUAUAUGUGUUGCCACACAGCCACCACUGCCAUCCUAGGGGAGCAGCGGGCCACUGCCAGGCAUCCCACACCUCCCUGCGUGACAGCAGCCUGGCCAGCUUUGAGCAGCCCUGAGCCUGUGCGGGGACAGCUCUUGGUGUUCCUGUUUUGCAUUACCUUUUCACUGUUUGUUGAGACAGCCCAGGCAGCAUCUUGGGGGCUAAUCCCGGGGGCUGAGUCGCUGGAGAGGGGUCAAGGGGAGUGGCCUGUGGCUGCCAUUAGUGCCUGUCCCUGUGGCCUCGGUCCCCGCGGCCUCGGUCCCUGCAGCCGCAGUGGCGCCUGCAUGGAGGGGGCCCCCUAAUCAUGGUGCCUCGGCUGUGGAAUGUUCUGGGAGCUAGUCAGAACGGACAUGGCUGCCGCAGCUGACCCUCCCGCCUGGCGAACUCUUUCUGGCUAAUUGUUCUGUUUGUUUGCCCAGAGCAGGUGGGGGCAGGGCCUCUUCCAUCCAUUAUCGGCUCACAUGGUGCCAGGGAGGCACCGUGUGCACACAGGCUCAGCAUUUUGGUUUUGCUUGAAUUAGCAAGAAGCAGCAGGGAGUGGGGUUUGAGAUAUCUGAAUAUUUGUGGCUGUGCAAACCCAGAAUCAACAAAUAAUAAUCAGCAAAUCAAGAAAAAUUACAUCAACAAUCAACAAAUAAUAAUACACCAGGAAUCCACUGGUUAUGAGCGCAGCUCAGCACAGCGACAUUUCUCAGCUCGUUGAUGUCCCUUCCUCGGUGCGUGCUGAGUCGUUCCUGUGUGCCGAGGCCGGUGCGGGGUGCUGGGGCCCAGUCCCCUGGGUUCACAGCCCAGGCUGUGACAGAGGUGGGUUCUAAAGACUCCCGAGCUGGUGUGCAGUCUCUUCUUACACCCUUGUCCAGAUGGCCGCGGGGCCCAUCCUGCGCCCUAAAGAGCAGAGUCAGGGCCAGGAGCUGGGCACAGGCGGUUUUUCUGGGAGAUGUUCCCAGGGGGUCUCCUGGGGAGAGGCUGGCUGGGGCCACUGCAGGUUGGGGGAUGGAGCUGGUCACCUCUGUGGGAACCCAGGGCUCAGUCCCCCCAGGGACCAUAUGAAAUCAUAUGUCAUGCGCCUGAGGACAGCCGGCAGAUGGUGGGGGGCUGGGUGUUUAUCCAGGAACUCUUGACCCAGGGUUGAGGGUUGCCUUGGGGGUGACAACACUCCAGCACUUUCCACUGCAAAGGGUCCUUGCUGGCUGCAGAGAAACCAGGGAGCUUGGGGGUCAGUUCCACCCCUGGGCUGGUGUGGGCCUGACACAGGACCUGGCCCCGUCGGCACUGUCUGUCAUGGCUGCGCAGAAAUUGGGGUGCGGGACAGGGAGGCGGAGAGCAGUCAGACCUGGGCUCAGGGCCAGCCCCGCGAGUUCUUCAAACCCCAUGGCAUCUGGAAAAGGAGGCAACAGGGAUCGGGCCUCGGUGGCUGAUGUGACAGGUCUGCGGGCAUAAGAGGCCCAGGGAGCAAAGGCAGCACAACCCUUCCAGCACCCAGAACGGCAUGGCGGGGCCUGCAGACACAACCUUUCCAGCACCCAGAGCAGUGUGGCGGGGCCUGCAGAGAGCCUCCUGCGUGGCCUGUGCAGGGUGCAGCGCCCGCCGGCAAAGCCUGCACGAUGGGGACAGAGCCCCCUCUGGACAGGGGAAGAGAAGUCCGGGCUGGGGAUGGUCAGGGGGUGAGGCCUGAGGCCCCUGGAGCAAGUUACAGGGUUGUAACAGGAAGCUAGGGAAGUUUGCACUGUGCCACGCGAGUGCUUGCUAGGGCGAGCUCAUGUCCUGGAACUGCACCCUGGUGCUGCGGGAGGCGGGAGGCAGAGGGCACAGUUUUGUUUGUUUGUUUGUUUGUUUGUUUUUCGAGAUGGAGACUUGCUCUGUUGCCCAGUCUGGAGUGCAGUGGCACAAUCUCGGCUCACUGCAAGCUCUGCCUCCCAGGCUCAAGCGAUUCUCCUGCCUCAGCCUCCCGAGUAGCUGGGAUUACAGGCGCCUGCCACCAUGCCUGGCUAAUUUUUGUGAUUUUUAGUAGAGACGGCAUUUCGCCAUGUUGUCCAGGCUGGUCUUGAACUCCUGACCCCAGGUGAUCCGGAAGGCACAGUUUUGCCUGUGGUUGCUGGAGGUCCCCGAGGGUGGCUCAGAUGCCAGCACUGGCCCAGAGCUGUGUGGCCCUGGGCAAGUUACUUCUCCUCGCUGGGCCUCAGGGUUCCCAUCUCUAAAACAGAGAUGAUGGGCCCUGCCCCGUGGGGCUGUAGUGAGGAUUCAGCAAAAUCACCAUGGGGUGUGUGUCCCACAGGCAGGAGUGAGCAUGGGGUGGGGGCAGCCUGUCCAGGGAAGCCAAUAACAACCAUCAUCACAAGGCACCGCACCGCUGUGCUUCCCUUAGGACCCUCGUGCAGGGCUCCCGUGUCCUUCCACAUCCCCUUCCCCCUUCCCUGCGAGAGCCUGAAUCCUGGGAAGGGCCGCCUGGGCAGGCCUAGGCCCUCCUUGUACAGAGGUGGGAACUGGGGUGGGAGGGAGCUGGGGUGCCCCUAAGGGGCCAGUGGGUGGGAGGCGGGGAUGAACACACAUCCAGGGCAGGGGGAGCAACCCCUCUUAAUCCAGGGCCAACACAGUGAGCAUGCAUGGCUUUUUCCCCCAAUUUAAAAUGAAAAUAACUUUAUUGAGACCCACGGACAAAACUUCUGUCCUCGUAAUACUGAUUUCCUGAGCUUAUUUCUCAGCACUGGCUGCUGGGUCACAGUUCUCCUGAGGUGUGACUGAGCAUCUGGUGGGCACUGAGCUGUUCUGGGCCCGGGCUGCAACGUGGCUGUGGGCUGCUUGGCCUGUGCGGGCUAGACACCAAGGCAGCCUGGGAGGCCCGCUGGAGUGGGAGGCCCGCUGGAGUGGGAGGCCCGCUGGAGUGGGAGGCCCUGAUUCCUUCCCCAAAAACCUCGGGCUCUUGGCAGAGUCGUUUCCUCCCUGAUUCGACCAGGGUUGAGUGCCAUGGCCUCAGCACCAGAGGGACUCUUGCACUGGACUAGGUCCACGGGGACCCUCCCUGCCCCCGCCCUGCCCUGGGUCCUCCCUGGGCCCCCAUCUGCUCCACUGCAGGGCACCCCUUCCCUUCCUCCUAGUCUUUCCCAGAUGCCUGAUGACUGCCUCACCCCCUCACUUCCUAGGAACAGUCCACCUGCUGCGUGAGGACUCUGGCCCCGCACGCCAGGGGAAUGACUUUGUCUGAGGUCACCUGGAACCUCCCACUCAACAAAUGCAGCUCGGGCCCUACCGGCCCCCAUGGCCCUGAGGAGGGAAUUAAAAUGGGGCACUCCCGUCCUCAGGAUGCUUUGCUCCAUGUGCCAGAAGGCAGCCGUGACAUACUGAUUAGUUACAACACAGGUCUUUUACUAUACACAGGCUAAGAUGUCUGCCCUGUGCAGUGUCCCACCUGUGUAACCUUACAAGGCUGCCCCUUGUGCAGUGCACCACCUGUGUAACCUUACAAGGCUGCCCUUUGCAGUCCUCCUCCUGCUCUUCCUUGUAAGUGUUGAAGCAGUUGCUCAUUAACGGUGCAAUUCGGAUCGUAUCAGUGCAUGUUUGUCACUUGAGAUGUGCAAAGAUCCCUACGCUGUGCUCACCCAGUGCCCUGCCUGGCACCAAGUAGGACACCAAUAACUGUAGAAUGAGCAACAUUGAAAUGUAAAUGAGACUUUUUUUUUUUUGAGACAAGGUCUUGCUAUGUCACCCAGGCUGGAGUGCAGUGGCGUGAUCACUGCAACCUUGACGUCCUGUUCUCAAGAGAUCCUCCUGCCUCAGCCUCCCGAGUAGCUGAAACUAGGCACACGCCACCACACCUGGCUAAUUUUCAUAUUAUUUGUAGAGACGGGGUUUUGCCAUGUUACCCAGGCUGGUCUUGAACUCCUGGACUCAAGUGUUCACUCGCUUCAGCCUCCAGAAGUGCUGGGAUUAUGGGUGUGAGCCACUGUACCCAGCACUCGAAUAAGACUCUUGUUAAGAGAUGUUUGGAACCAACCCCACCAGGGUGAAUGGAAGACAUAAUAUCUAUCUAUGCCUCAGAAUGUGCAGGAAAGAGAACACUGAAUUGAUUCCGCCAGCCCAGACUUUCUUCUCUUCUCUCUGUUGUCCAUCACAACAACCUCACCCCACAAGACAUCUCCACUCUCACCGCAAGACAGCAAUGGCCACAAAGGGACCCACUUGGAGGACCUUGGCAGGAUACUCCCCAGACAUGCUGGCUGAGUCCUGCUCCAAACUCCGGCUUUUGGAGGUGAUGAGCUCACUGUCGUCCAGCGGGGCCAAGUUCCCCAUCCUAAGUAUAGAUGAAGUUGCAUUCUUGGAAUAUAUAUAAAUCCUUAUUUUGGGAUGGGCCUAUUGGUGUCAGCGUCUGAUGUCUGUGUGAUUUUUUUUUGACCUGCGUAUCAGCAGGAUGGUGACACACCAGGAAGGUCGUAAACUGGUCCGUGUCACUGUGAACAACACUGGCCUAAGAGAGGAAGAAAAUGCAUUUGGAAAGCCCAGCACUUGGAAAUCCAUCUGGUGGCGGGGAGCAUGGAAAGGAUCUGGUGGCCCCGAAGAGUCACUCAAGGACACAACGGAGCCAAACACCCUUUUUCAUUUAUUUGGAUAGGUGGAAUUUAGUUUUAAUUAUUUAAGAGAAUACUUCAUGAGAUAUUUUCAAAGAGAAAUGGGAUCUUAAUAAUCUGGGGCUCAUUACACUCCUAGGCCAUGAAAUCUUUAUACAUCUCUGCUGGAGGUGCAGAGCAGCAGCCGGGCCUGGAGGACUGUGAACUUGGAGCGUGAGUGAGCAGAAGGUGGUGGCUGUGCUGUGUUAGAGGCUUCAUUUCCUUGUCUGGGGUCCUGAGUUCAAGGGUGAGGCCACUUCCCAGGUGAAGUCACGGGAAGGAGCAAUUCCAACAAUGGCCAUUGACAAUGAGGAGAACGGAGGCAGGCUGGACACAGUCACCAGACUGCGAGAGCCGGCCUGAGGAGACUUGGAAACUGUCCUCCGCCAACCUGGCUGAAUUUCACUCUUACUAAAGUUAACCCCACUCGAAGACUGGGGAAUUCCAGCACCUCAGGGGAGAGGCUGAGUUAUUUUUGCAACCCCAAAUUAAAUGAUGCAUGGUCGCUGGCUGUGCAUGCCACGGGGCUUGAUUUCCAUUCCCCUGAUUCACUCUUCCCUCCUCCAGGGCGCUCAGGCUCAUGGAAACUGAGGGAAGCUCAGGGCCCUGACGACCCACCAGGCCCUGGCCAGGACACUGCAUCCUGCUGGAAAGGAAUGCCCCGUGAGGGGCUCACGGUGGAUUUUUAAUCCCUGUUCAGGUUCCCUGCCCUCACCCGAAAGGCCCCCACCCUUGAGCUCCCCCGGCAGCCCUGCAUCUCUCUGGGGUCUUCCCAGGAUGUGCUACAGAAGCCCCAAGCUGCACACGACCCAGCUCCUCACAGGCCUUUCUCCCAGACCCACUCUCCUUAGGCCCCCUGCCCUGGGUGUCUGGGCCAGCCAGACCGCUUGCAGCCUCAGCAACCCCCAACAGCCAGCUGAUCAUCAAAUCCUGUCAAUGACAGAUCCUGAGCCCACCUCAGACCAACCCCUAUGACCCACUUGCCAGUUGGAGUCCUGGCCUCUACUCAGACCCUUGACAUCACUGUCCUCCGGUCUGACUGGUGGCCACAGUGGCCACCCACUCUGCCUGCGCCUGCCUUGGUCCACACUACCAGGAGUUUCCUUCCUGAAGAGGAUCCAAGGAUCCCAUCACACAUCUCAGCAGCCUUUGCCUGGACCCCUCCAGAUAGGAUUCAGACCUGCCCCUGACCUCCCUACUGGCCCUCUGUGUCCUGAGCACAUGGCACCCUGGUAUCUCUCUGCCACAGCCCAUCUUGGGUCUGCUGCCUGAAGACCCCUCCUCUCCUCCCGAGCAUGGAGGGCCCUGGGUGAUCUUAAGAGGCGGCGGAAGCAUUGCCUCCUUUCAGAGCCUUAGCAACUUGAUGGACGUUAUGGAAUAAAUGAAUGAGUUCUUCUCCAAAAGAGGGAGCAGGGGUUCUGUGUUCCUUCUGUCCACCAUCAUCACGGAAUCAGAGCACAUCUGAGAUGGGGGGACACAGCAAUCCUUUGCUCCUCUUCAUUGAUUACAGGGAAACUGAGGCAGAGGUGGAGCCAGCCCCUGGCCUCCUGACUCCCAGGACAGGCCAGAGGCUACGAGACCACAGCCUCCCGAAGGGGACUCCCAAACUGCAAGACCGGACCCUGGGCUCCCCAUGGCUGGAGCAAAUGCCUCUGUAUGUCCUCCCUCUGGAAAUUCCUCCCCGAGGGACCCUCCGGAGAGAAGGAUGUGACACUAACUCAGGACUCUCGAGGGUUCUUGGGGCACCUUUGAGAAGAGUCCAAGGCACUAAAAUAGACUGGGUUCCCAGGAGUAAACAACCAAAAGGCUUAGUUAGACUCCUACUUGGAAAGUAUGCCUACCUGUAUCCCUAUGCUGCUUAAACACCCCACCUCAGCAGAACCCCGCUAGGCACUGGGGCCCGGGUUCCCUGCAUCUCGCCCACUGUGUCGGCUAAGACCAUUUCAGCUGCAAGUAUGAAACCUGACACAAAUGGCUUGCGUGAUAAGGAAAGUAGUGGCCUUUUCCAAGGAAGGACUCUUGGCUCUAGGCUCACCAGUUUGGCCCCUUGGUGGCAUCUGCCUCCCUGCCUCCCUCCCUCCCUCCCUCCCUCCUUCCUUCCUUUCUUCCUUUCCUCCCUCCCUCCCUCCUUCCUUAUUUCUUCUUUCUUCUUCCUUCCUUUCUUUCUUCCGGCAGAGUCUUUCUCUGUUGCCCAGGCUGGAAUGCAGUGGUGCAAUCUGAGCUCACUGCAACCUCCACCUCCCGGGUUCAAGCAAUUCUCCCAUCUCAGCCUCCUGAGUAGGUGGGAUUACAAGGGUGAGACACCAUGCCCGGCUAAUUUUUGUAUUUUUAGUAGAGACGGAGUUCUGCCAUGUUGGCCAGGCUGGUCUCGAACUCCUGAACUCAAGUGAUCCACCCGCCCCAGCCUCCCAAAGUGCUGGGAUUACAGGCGUGAGCCACCACAUCUGGCUGGCUCUUGGUGGCAUCUUGAAGGCCAUUUUCUCACCCUUUAUCUCUGCCAAGCUCAGUAGAUAGGAUUCUGUGUGUCUUCUUUUGACCCAACCAUCAGCAGCAGCAGGGAAGGCAUCUUUGCCUCUGUCUUUUCUUUCUUUUUUUUUUUUUUAGAUGGAGUCUUGCUCUGUCUACCAGGCUGGAGUGCAGUGGCGCGAUCUCGGCUCACUGCAAGCUCUGCCUCCUGGGUUCACGCCAUUCUCCUGCCUCAGCCUCCCGAGUAGCUGGGACUACAGGCACACACCACCACGUCCAGAUAAUUUUUUGUAUUUUUAGUAGAGACGGGGUUUCACCGUGUUAGCCAGGAUGGUCUCGAUCUCCUGACCUCGUGAUCCGCCCGCCUCGGCCUCCCAAAGUGCUGGGAUUACGGGCGUGAACCACAGCACCCGGCCUUGCCUCUGUCUUCUUAUCAGCCAAGAAGCCUUUCCCAGCAUUCCUCAAUAGCCACCCCUCACAUCUCAUUGGCUAGGAUUGGGUCACAUGCCCCAGGCUAAGCCAAUCAUUGUCUAGGAGAAUCAUUGGCUUAGCCAAUCAGAGCCUAUGCCUGAGGCACACAGGGCAAUGCCUAGACCACAGGACAAAAUUGGGCUUUGUCAGCAAGGAAGGAGGGGUGGCUGUUGGGUGGCCUGUGAGGCUGUCACCCAUGUCCCCUCGCUUGUUCUGACAAAGGUUUUCAUAAAAGAGCCACUUCUAGCCUGUCGUGGUGGGACCCUCAGAUGUCCCUGUGCCCUCCAGCGUCUGGGCAACCUGAGGUUCUGGUAGGAGGAGAAGGCUACUUUGUAGAAGUCUGGAGGGCCUGGAAGAAGACAUCUCUGCCCAGACAGUCCAUUUAGUGUAGCUCGGGCCACCCCUUGCCAUCCCGUGUCUAGCAGGUGGCCUGGUGAGUGUGGACUCGUCAGGAGCCGGGCCUCUCUUCCUGCUAUCGCCCUCAGUCCAGCCGUGAGCUCAGCCACCACCUCACCAGUGCACACAUCGGCCAGACAGCCACCAGCAUUGCCUGCCUUGGGUGCCAUGGGGGUUUGGCCUGAACUCUUCACCAAGCGCGGCUCACGAAGGAGCUCACUUCAUCCUCACACCAGCCCCAGGCGUUGCUGACAUCCAGAGCUGGGGAAAGGGCAGGACAGAGGUUGAAGGAAGUCACCCAGAGUCCCACAGCUGGAACGUGGGGGAGCUGGGAUUCUAACCCAGGGCUCACACUGUCGCCCACACCCAUCCAGGUGAAAGUUUGUUUUAAAAAUUACAUAUAAUUCACAUGCCAUGAAAUUCACUACUUUUAAGUGUACAAUUUAGUGGUUAUUUACAAGGUUGUACAACUACCAUCAUAAUCAAUUUUAGAACAAGUUCAUCACCCCAAAACGAAACCAUGCACUUCUUAGCAGUCACCCCUUCCUCCCCGCAGCCAGCCCCUGUAAACCACGAAUCUACUUUUUGUCUCCAGGGACUUGCCUAUUCUGGACAUUUCACAUAAUGUGAUUUUAUGGCAUGUGGUCCUGGGUGCAUGGAAAAUCUUCCUUGACUUCGCAUAAUGUUUCAUCCUUGGUGUGGCCUAUGUCAGUGCAUUAUUCUUUUUUUUCGUUUUUUUUUUUUUUUUUUUUUUUUGAGAUGGAGUCUUGCUUUGUCGCCCAGGCUGGAGUGCAGUGGCACAAUCUUGGCUCACUGCAAGCUCCACCUCCCAGGUUCACGCCAUUCUCCUGCCUCAGCCUCCCAAGUAGCUGGGACUACAGGUGCCCGCCACCACGCCCGGCUGAUUUUUUGUAUUUUUAGUAGAGAUGGGGUUUCACCGUGUUAGUUAGGAUGGUCUCAAUCUCCUGACCUCGUGAUCCGCCUGCCUCGGCCUCCCAAAGUGCUGGGAUUACAGGCGUGAGCCACCGCGCCCGGCCUCUUUAUUCUUGUUAUUGCCAAAUAAUAUCCCCCUGUGUGAGAAGUCCACAUUGUGUUUAUUUGGUCAUCAGUGGAUGGACAUUUGGAUUGCUUCUACGCCCUGGCUCUUGUGAGUAACCCUGAUGUAAAUAUGUGUGUACAUGUUUUGUUUUGUUUUGAGACAGAGUCUUGCUCUGUCGCCCAGGCUGGAGUGCAGUGGCACAAUCUCAGCUCACUGCAACCUCUGUCUCCCAGGUUCAAACGAUUCUCCUGCCUCAGCCUCCCAAGUAGCUGGGACUACAGGCACCCGCCACCACUCCCAGCUAAUUUUUGUAUUUUUAGUAGAGACGGAGUUUCAGCAUGUUGGCCAGGUUGGUCUCCAUCUCCUGACCUCGUGAUCUGCCCACUUCAGCCUCCCAAAGUGCUGGGAUUACAGGCGUGAGCCACCGUGCCCGACCGUGUGUACAUGUUUUCGUGUGGACAGGUGUUUGCAUUCUUCUAGGGCAGGUGCCCGGGAGUGGGAUCUCUGGGUGGAAGUCAUUUUGACAAAAUGAAAGCGCAUCUUUAUUUAAGAGGCUAUUGAGUGGCAUCAGAGUGUCCUGAGCACUGGAGAGGGAGGUGGGAGUUGGAACUCUGAUCUGGGCUGUACUGUGUGGUGACUAUAGGACCUUGGUCAAAGGCCUUCUCUGAGUUGGUCACAAUGACAAGGGGGCAGGAGUGGACAGGCCCAGCCCUUAGUGGAUACUCGCAUCCCCCAGCCCCUGGGGAAGGAGCUAAGGUUUUUCUGACACCUGUGCUGGGAGAGAUGAUGAUACCCAUCUAGAGGGCAGAGAAGGAACAGGACGUGGGCCUGAGCCCUGGCUCCCUGCCAGAGCCUUCUGCUGCUCAGAGCCAGGAAGACAGCAUUUUCCUGCUGUAAUCGCCACCAAUUUUCAUUUGCACUUGAAUGUCUACCCCGUUUUACUCUAUUGUAUCUCCUUAGACUUGAAAGUAAACCUUAGCUCAUUCUAAUGAAAGCCAUGCAAAGCUCAGCCAGAAAUUUAAUCGUAUUUACUAAGAAGCUAAUAAAUAUUUACUACAAAAUUCAUUGCUCCGUAAAAUUGAAGACAACACUUUCUGCAUGCUUUUUCAGCUGUGAGGCCAGGCUGGGGAAGAGGGGGAGACAGUCUGGGAAGGAGAGAGGAAGGAUCCGACUUGUUUCCUUGUUAGAGCUAAACUGUGGUCUUCCCUCCAAUGUUUUCUGCAAUGGGAACCCAUCACUUGCCAUGACUUUGAUCUGAGCUUGAUCGUUUUAUUCAGAAGGAAAGCUUUCCUACAAGCAAUUCAUUUCCGUUGCAUUUCCAAACCAGAUCUAUUUGAUUAUGCAUGGGAAGCUUACAACAUUUUCCACUGAGACGGUUUUUGAAUUAACUGAAAACUUAGCUGUUUCAUAAUUUCUGAAUUGUAGAUUUUUGGCUCCCCUUCUUGGUCUCAUAACUCCAUCGAUGGGUCUUUUUAAAUCUGAAAUUUGCCAUAGGCUGAGUCCUCAAAGAAAGAUAUAUACCCUUGACAUUUGAAAGAAAUUAAUGGAAAAUCACUAAAUCCCUUCAAAUGCUACAUCGAAAUGUAGUUACAACUCUUUCCUCAGGCCCAGUGAGGAUUGAAUCAUAGCAAAAUCUUCAUGUUUAAUAUUGAAAUUUUAUCCAGGAGACCCCCCCCAAAAAAAUGCCUUGCAACGGGCAGCUCAGCAUUUCCCAGACCUGCUGGGAGCGCUCUCUGGCUCUAACUUGGAGCUGUGGCAACUGGAAGAUGAACCCGUGAACCUGGCUUUUCCCAAACUGCAAGUCUAAGGCUCCAGAGAAGUCAGAGCCCCAAGGGCUAAAGCAUGAGCCAUGGUUGGGGGUUCUCUGGAAACACACCAACAGCUGCUUCCCAUUUGCCUCCAGAAUCUUCAGGAGCUCAGAGCCUCUCAGUGUGUGUGUCACACCUGCUCACGUGCCGUUGGCUGAAGCAAGUGACAUGGCUGGGCCCAAACGGAAGGAGUGGGGAGCAGAUCCUCUCCGUAGAAGGAACAAAGUCAGAUGCCAAGGGGCACGGGCGCAGAGAUAGGAGGACGGUGCACCACCCUGCAGUCCGCACUGAGCCCUGCCAGCACCACAUUCAUGGGCUGCUGCACCCAUUCCCUAACCGUGGUGAGUGCGGGCUGUUGACAGCACGCCCGCCUCCUUUUCAGAGCACGGCCUUGGCUGACAGGAGCCACACAUCCUGGCUGUGCUCUUCCUCACUGCCUGGGAGUCACAGCCGAUGGCUGGCCGGGCCCCCUUUCUUCAAGGCGGGGCAAAGCAGUGGUGUGGGCUGUGGUCCAGAGAGCACCUGACUUGAGCCUACACCCUUGCUCGGCUCUUUCCCCUUCCCCGUGCCGCUGUCUUCCCUCCCUCCCAGGCGUUUAUUGAAGAGCCUUCCCUCAAUAAGCCACGCGCCCUGAAUCCCUGCUCCAGCUCCACUUCCCGGGACCUCCAGGGCCAAGGCGGUGCUUUCCAAGGGUGGUCCAUGGUGUUUCCUGCCCAGCACGCUUUUCGACACUGCGGUCUGACGCUCCUUCUGAGAUAGGGGAGGUCUGUGUCCCCUCCCCUUGAGUCUGGGCAGGCAGGUGACUUGCUUGUAGCCAGUGGGGUAUGGCAGAAGUGACACUAUGUGACGUCCGAUGGUGGUCGUCAGUGUGGCACAGGAACACCUGCUCUCAAAGCUGCCAGACUGCCUGCCUGCUGCGAGGAGGCCGGGGGCACCCCUGUGGGCACACGCCUGGCCAGCCCCACACUAGUCAACUCCAGCCGUUGUCCGAAGGCAACUGCAGGACAGACUCCAGCUAAACCUUGCCCGAGUUCCUGACCCCCAGAAAUCUGGAGAAAAUAAAAAAAAGAUCGUUGUUAUUUAAGCCACUAGGUUUUGUUUGUUUGUUUUGUGUUUGUUUUUUUUUUUUUUUGAGACGGG
rnacentral:lncRNA from 1 species